CAGCUCUGGCCGAGUGGACAAGUGGACGCAGCUGGGUGCCGGACUUCGGGACUUCUCUCUCUGGAUCCCAUCCUGCCGGUGACACAGGGACAGGGACGCAGCUGGCAGCAGCCUGUGGGGGCAGUCAGAGUCUGAGAAUUGGAAACCAAGGCUGCCAAAGAUCACACAGCUAGUAAGUGGUGAAGCUGCGAUUAUUACCCAGGAGGAAGCCGUCAAGGCUGGAGCUGGGGAUUAGCCCAACAGGAAGAUGGAUUGUCACAUUGGAAUGCUGCGUUUGAACCACAUGUGAGUUCACUGAAAAUUCCAAUUUCUUUGAGUUCUCCAAGAACCAGAUUAGAACCUCUUCUUCCCCUGCAGGCCUUGGCCACAAAACCCCAGCUAUCCUGCGCAGCUCCUAAAGUG
ensembl:lncRNA